UACGGAGGAUGCGAGCGUUAUCCGGAUUUAUUGGGUUUAAAGGGUGCGUAGGCGGACUGUUAAGUCAGCGGUAAAAGCCCGGGGCUCAACCCCGGCGAGCCGUUGAAACUGGCGGGCUGGAGUCGGAGAGAAGUACGCGGAAUGCGCGGUGUAGCGGUGAAAUGCUUAGAUAAUCGCGCAGAACCCCGAUUGCGAAGGCAGCGUACCGGCUCCACACUGACGCUGAGGCACGAAAGCGUGGGUAUCGAACAGGA
rnacentral:rRNA from 1 species